UACAGAGGUCUCAAGCGUUUGUUCGGAUUCAUUGGGCGUAAAGGGUGCGUAGGUGGCGCGGUAAGUCGGGUGUGAAAUUUCGGAGCUUAACUUCGAAACUGCAUUCGAUACUGCCGUGCUUGAGGACUGGAGAGGAGACUGGAAUUUACGGUGUAGCGGUGAAAUGCGUAGAUAUCGGGAGGAACACCAGUGGCGAAGGCGACUUCCUGGCCUGUUCUUGACGCUGAGACGCGAAAGCGUGGGGAGCAAACAGGG
rnacentral:rRNA from 1 species